GACGAACGCUGGCGGCGUGCCUAACACAUGCAAGUCAACUUGACUGAAGGAGCAAUCUGACAGUAGAGUGGCGCAAGGGUGCGUAACGCGUAAGUAACUUGCCCAAGGUAAGGAAUAACGUCGAGAAAUCGGCGCUAAUACCUCAUAAUGCAGCGGAUCCGCAUGGAUAUGUUGUUAAAGGUUUACCGCCUUGGGAUAGGCUUGCGUCUGAUUAGUUAGUUGGUGUGGUAACGGCACACCAAGGCUACGAUCAGUAACUGGUCUGAGAGGAUGAUCAGUCACACUGGAACUGAGACACGGUCCAGACUCCGUACGGGAGCAGCAGUGAGGAAUAGUGGGCAAUGCU
rnacentral:rRNA from 1 species